GGUCGAUGCAGAUUGAGUAGACGUAUUAUAAUCAGAAUAUGACCGAAAAACUAGUUAAUAAAUUAUUAGAGAAGUGCUUAAGACUGAUAUAAUCAAUAAGCAAAAACUAGUGAAUGCAAUUGCCCUCCCACCAAACCUCCAACUUACAAAGAACCCAACCAACAAACACAUUACUAUCACUAUCAAAUGCAUAAUAACGGGACACCAAACAACACAGCAAAAGCAAAAUAACAGAUGAGACACAAAUUUGCAUUUUCAUAAGUUAUUAUACAAAAGAGGAGUGUUUGAACUUACUUUAGAACAUAUAGAUAUAGAUGUCAAUAACUUGCAAAUCAGCACAUGCCAUGCCUUUCCUAUGUAAACCAUGACUCUCUGCAAAUACAAAUCAUAACCAUGACUCUCAAUUGGGCAUCUCUUUUGACACUAACAUGAUUUAUCUUACGUGUAUACUUCCAUAAAAACUAAAAAGAGUGGUUUCUCUUACUGCUAAUAAAAUUUUAUCAGCACUUCUUUUUGGAGAAACAAAUCUAGAAAAUAAGGUUAAAGUAGAGAAAUAUAUGAAUUAGAUAAUAACAAAAAAUAAAUAUCAGAGGAU
rnacentral:lncRNA from 1 species